GGGGAUAUGGCGGAAUUGGUAGACGCUGCGGACUUAAAAUCCGUUGACUUUUUAAAUCGUGAGGGUUCAAGUCCCUCUAUCCCCA
rnacentral:tRNA from 1 species